ACUAAGUGAGCUACUUUAAAGCAGCUAUUAGAGCUAACCCGUCUCUGUCGCAAAAGAGUGGGGUGACUUUAAAGUAGAGGUGAUAGACCUACCGAACUUAGAGAUAGCUGGUUUUUUAAGAAAAGAAUUUUAGUUCAGCCCCAAGCCUUUCGUUAAGCAAAAAACCUUCUUAGGCCUGGGAGUCAUUCAUAUAGGGCACAGCCUAUUUGAAACAGGAUACAACCUAGAAUAUAGGGUAAAACAAUGUGAUUUUUCUAUAAGUGGGCUUGAAAGCAGCCACCUUUCAAAAAGCGUUGUAGCUUAUUGAUACUGAUUAUUUAAUAACCUCAAAAAUGUUUAACCCAUACACACUAUUAAACUAUCC
rnacentral:rRNA from 1 species